CACGGCACGUGCAUGUGUGUGCAUCUGUGCUCCUGGUGUGGCCUUGGGCUCAGCCCUUCUGUCUCUGGUCCUGAACUGUCCCCUCUAAGAUCCACGGAGCCCGCCCCGGCUGACACCUCGGCUUGUGAGGAACCCUGAGACCGAAGACCCAGCUAAUCCUGGAUUCCUGACCCGAGACACUGGCCCAGGAGCUGGGAGCUGGGGUUCCCUCCGAGGCCCAGACAGGAAGCUGCGCCUCGGGUCGCUCUGAAAU